rnacentral:rRNA from 1 species
AAUGAACGCUGGCGGCAUGCCUUACACAUGCAAGUCGAACGGCAGCAUGACCUCGCUUGCUAGGUUGAUGGCGAGUGGCGCACGGGUGAGUAAUGCAUCGGAACGUGCCUUUUAGUGGGGGAUAACGUAGCGAAAGUUACGCUAAUACCGCAUAUUCUCUGAGGAGGAAAGCAGGGGACCUUCGGGCCUUGCGCUAGAAGAGCGGCCGAUGUCGGAUUAGCUAGUUGGUGAGGUAAAGGCUCACCAAGGCAACGAUCCGUAGCGGGUCUGAGAGGAUGAUCCGCCACACUGGGACUGAGACAAGGCCCAGACUCCUACGGGAGGCAGCAGUGGGGAAUUUUGGACAAUGGGCGCAAGCCUGAUCCAGCCAUGCCGCGUGAGUGAAGAAGGCCUUCGGGUUGUAAAGCUCUUUCGGCUGGGAAGAAAUCGCACCCUCUAAUACAGGGUGUGGAUGACGGUACCAGCAUAAGAAGCACCGGCUAACUACGUG